rnacentral:rRNA from 1 species
UAAUACGGAGGGUGCAAGCGUUAUCCGGAUUCACUGGGUUUAAAGGGUGCGUAGGCGGCUAUAUAAGUCAGUGGUGAAAGCCCGCAGCUCAACUGCGGAAUUGCCAUUGAAACUGCAUAGCUUGAAUCUGGUUGAAGUGGGCGGAAUACAUCAUGUAGCGGUGAAAUGCUUAGAUAUGAUGUAGAACACCGAUUGCGAAGGCAGCUCACUAAGCCAACAUUGACGCUGAGGCACGAAAGCGUGGGUAGCGAACAGGAUUAGAUACCCUGGUAGUCCACGCCCUAAACGAUGAAUACUCGAUGUGUGCUCCUUGAGGGUACGCGUCCAAGCAAAAGCGUUAAGUAUUCCACCUGGGAAGUACGGCCGCAAGGUUA